GGAUGAACGCUAGCUACAGGCUUAACACAUGCAAGUCGAGGGGAAACGACAUCGAAAGCUUGCUUUUGAUGGGCGUCGACCGGCGCACGGGUGAGUAACGCGUAUCCAACCUGCCCACCACUUGGGGAUAACCUUGCGAAAGUAAGACUAAUACCCAAUGACAUCUCUAGAAGACAUCUGAAAGAGAUUAAAGAUUUAUCGGUGAUGGAUGGGGAUGCGUCUGAUUAGCUUGUUGGCGGGGUAACGGCCCACCAAGGCGACGAUCAGUAGGGGUUCUGAGAGGAAGGUCCCCCACAUUGGAACUGAGACACGGUCCAAACUCCUACGGGAGGCAGCAGUGAGGAAUAUUGGUCAAUGGGCGAGAGCCUGAACCAGCCAAGUAGCGUGCAGGAUGACGGCCCUAUGGGUUGUAAACUGCUUUUAUAAGGGAAUAAAGUGAGMSUCGUGASKCUUUUUGCAUGUACCUUAUGAAUAAGGACCGGCUAAUUCCGUGCCAGCAGCCGCGGUAAUACGGAAGGUCCGGGCGUUAUCCGGAUUUAUUGGGUUUAAAGGGAGCGUAGGCYGGAGAUUAAGCGUGUUGUGAAAUGUAGAYGCUCAACRUCUGCACUGCAGCGCGAACUGGUUUCCUUGAGUACGCACAAAGUGGGCGGAAUUCGUGGUGUAGCGGUGAAAUGCUUAGAUAUCACGAAGAACUCCGAUUGCGAAGGCAGCUCACUGGAGCGCAACUGACGCUGAAGCUCGAAAGUGCGGGUAUCGAACAGGAUUAGAUACCCUGGUAGUCCGCACGGUAAACGAUGGAUGCCCGCUGUUGGUCUGAAUAGGUCAGCGGCCAAGCGAAAGCAUUAAGCAUCCCACCUGGGGAGUACGCCGGCAACGGUGAAACUCAAAGGAAUUGACGGGGGCCCGCACAAGCGGAGGAACAUGUGGUUUAAUUCGAUGAUACGCGAGGAACCUUACCCGGGCUUGAAUUGCAGAGGAAGGAUUUGGAGACAAUGACGCCCUUCGGGACCUCUGUGAAGGUGCUGCAUGGUUGUCRUCAGCUCGUGCCGUGAGGUGUCGGCUUAAGUGCCAUAACGAGCGCAACCCCUCUCCUUAGUUGCCAUCAGGUCAAGCUGGGCACUCUGGGGACACUGCCACCGUAAGGUGUGAGGAAGGUGGGGAUGACGUCAAAUCAGCACGGCCCUUACGUCCGGGGCUA
rnacentral:rRNA from 1 species